rnacentral:rRNA from 1 species
GAUAAACGCUAGCGGCAGGCCUAACACAUGCAAGUCGAGGGGCAGCAUUUAAAUAGCUUGCUAUUUAAGAUGGCGACCGGCGCACGGGUGCGUAACGCGUAUGUAACCUACCUUGAACAGGGGGAUAAUCCAGAGAAAUUUGGUCUAAUACCCCAUAACACUAUUUUAGGCAUCUAAUAUAGUUGAAAAUUCCGAUGGUUCAAGAUGGACAUGCGUGACAUUAGCUAGAUGGUGAGGUAACGGCUCACCAUGGCUACGAUGUCUAGGGGGACUGGGAGGUUUUCCCCCCACACUGGUACUGAGACACGGACCAGACUCCUACGGGAGGCAGCAGUGAGGAAUAUUGGUCAAUGGACGCAAGUCUGAACCAGCCAUGCCGCGUGCAGGAUGACGGCUCUAUGAGUUGUAAACUGCUUUUAUACGAGGGUAAAAUAAGAUACGUGUAUCUUACUGAAAGUAUCGUAUGAAUAAGGAUCGGCUAACUCCGUGCCAGCAGCCGCAGUAAAAC